rnacentral:lncRNA from 1 species
AUGGAAGAAAAAAAUGAAUAUAAUUUGACUUUACAACAGAAUAAUAACAACCGUAAUAACACUACAGACAUAAAUAAUAAACUACUUAUAGAAAUGCAAAAUAAUUUAGUUAAAAAAGAAGAACCUAACAUAAUUAAUAAAACAAAACCUAACAUAGCUAACAAAAUUGAAUCGAGCACAACUAAUAAAAUUGAACCGAGUACAACUAACAAAAUUGGACUGAACAUAAUUAGAAAAACAGAACCCAUUAUAACUAACAAAGUUGAUCCCAUAAUAGUUAACGAAACAAAACAAAAAAUAAUUAGGAAAACAGAACCUAUCACAACUAAAAAAGUAGAACCUACCACAAUUAAAAAGACAGAACCUACCACAANNNNNNNNNNUAAAAAGACAGAACCUACCACAAUUAAAAAGACAGAACCCAACAUAAACAAAAAAGCAGAACCUAACACAAUUAAAAAAGUAGAACCUAACACAAUUAAAAAAGUAGAGACCACAGAAGUUGACAAAAUUCAGCUCAUAAACGAAAGUGAAAAUAAAAAGAUGUUAAAUACCUUAUUUGGUAAAAAUUAUCAAAUUAAUGCUGACCAGGGUCAUAUUAAAAAAGAACAAAUAAAGAUAAAAAAUGAACAUAUCGAUAAGGUUACGACUGAGGAUGUUAAUAAACAAAAUGUCAAUGGCACAAAUAAACAAAAUGUUAGUGGCACAAAUAAACAAAAUGUUAGUGGCACAAAUAAACAAAAUGAUAAUAAUUACGUUGUUCAUAAUAAUGUAAACUAUUUAGAAAAAAUAAAAAAAGAAAUUACAGUACCCACUUUUCCAGUUGAUAUGUCUCCAUAUAAUAUAAAAUGUGUUGUAAGUAACGAAACGGACCCAGAUGUAUGUAUAUUGGUACUUAAUAAAAAUAAAACGACAAUAUUAGAUAAUACUGCUAACUCUAGUAUAAAUGACAAUAAUAAACGUGAAGAAUAUAUUACACCAAGUGUUAAUUUUACACCAAAUGUUAAUUUUACACCAAAUGUUAAUUUUACACCAAAUGUUAAUUUAUACAAACAAGAAAUAAAUCUUCCCCAAAAAGAAAACAUUAACAACCACAUUUACGACAAUUACAACCAAAAUUACAACGACAACCACAACCACAACCACAAUUACAACCAAAAUUACAACGACAACCACAACGACAACCACAACCACAACUACAACCACAACUACAACCACAAUUACAACCAAAAUUACAACGACAACCACAACCAAAAUUACAACCACAAUUACAAUCACAUUUACAACCACAACCAAAAUUAUAUUUGUGAUGAUGUAAAACAUGGACAAAAUAUAGCCCAACAAAAUAAACAACUACAAGUAAUACAACAAAACAAUUUUAUUGAAAACCAAAAUAACGAAAUGAACGAUUUUAAUCAAAACUACACUGAAGAAGGAUAUACACAGGUGAAUGUUAAAGAAAACAUAGAAUUAGUAAAAGUACUGAAGCAAUUACUACCUCAUGCUAAAGUACAUACCGUGACUAAUGUAAUGGGUAAUACAAUGGAUAAUGUAAUUAGUAAUACCAUGGAUAAUGUAAUUAGUAAUACNNNNNNNNNNAUGGAUAAUGUAAUUAGUAAUACCAUGGAUAAUGUAAUUAGUAAUACCAUGGAUAAUGUAAUGGGUAACGAUACAAACGUAAUUAAUAAUAAACUUCAACAAAAAUACAUAGAUAAUAAACAAAAAUGGAUCAUCGAAAAAAAACCAAUAGAACAAAAAACUGAUCAUAUUUAUAUGAACACCGUUUCUAAUGUUACUACUACCGGUACUAACAUAAAUAAUAAUAUUGUUUGUAACAAUUAUAUGAAUGACAAUAAUAAUGUUGCUAAUAUAAAUAAAACUAUGCAAAAUAAAAGGCCUAAUAAAGGUCCUAAUAAAAGUCCUAAUAAAAGUCCUAAUAAAAGUCCUAAUAAAAGUCCCAAUAAAAGUCCCAAUAAAAGUCCUAAUAAACAACAAAUAGAUAAUAUUAAUAAAAAUGUAAUAAGAGAGAAUAAUAAUAAUGUUAGUGACAACCCAUACGAUUUACUUAGUAAUAUAAAAAAUCAUUUGAAUAAAAUGGAUGUAUGUGAUUUACUUAAAUAUUACCAUAAAUUAAACAUACAACAAAUACAAUUAAAAAUGUAUCUUAUUUAUCAAAAGUUAAAAGUAUUGACAAAUGAUGGGAAUUAUAACAAUGAACAUGAAAAUAAUCUCGGGAGUGGAAACAGGAAUAAUAUUGAUGAUAGAAACGAAAAUAGUAUUGGAGAUAAAAAUAAAAAUAACAAUGUUAAUAAUAGCCAUGCUAUUACCACUAAUAAUAAAGAAAGAGAACAAAAAAUUUUAUACAAACUUAAAGAAAUAAAAGAAACUUUUACUUAUGGUAAUGAUUUGUUAAAAUCACUUUUAAAACAAAAUAUAAAAAAAUAUAAACCUAUUAUUCAACAAUUUAUGAUUAUAUUACGGUACCAUAACAAUUUAUAUGAAAAAAAAAAAAAAAAUAUUAUUCAAGAAAAUGUACAUAAUACUAAUCUUUUAAAUUUUAUUUUUAAUCUGGAUGAUAUAAUUGAUCAUAUAAAAAUAAUUACACCAUAUCAGGAACCGAAUACAUAUUUUGAGACAGGUGAUUAUAUUGUAAAUAUUAAUAAAAAAAAAAUAAUUUAA